rnacentral:tRNA from 1 species
UGCGGGAUCUGCUAAUGGUAGGCAUCGUGACUCUGAAUCACGCAAUCUUGGUUCGAAUCCAAGUCCCGCAGCCA